AGAGGGGGAUGAAAUAGUACCUGAAACUGUAUGCUUAUAAGGAGUAGGAGCCCUUCGGGGUGACUGCGUACUUUUUGUAGAACGGGCCAACGAGUUAGCUGUAUGGCGCUUGGUUAAGGGAGUAAUACCCGAAGCCAUAGUGAAAGCGAGGGUGAAUAACCCGUCUGUGUCAUGCACUAGACCCGAAACUGAGUGAGCUAUCCAUGGUCAGGCUGAAGCGUGAGUAAAAUCACGUGGAGGACCGCACCGACCUCUGCUGCAAAAGGGGCGGAUGAGUUGUGGAUAGGGGUGAAAAGCCAAACGAACUCAGAGAUAGCUGGUUCUCCUCGAAAUAGCUUUAGGGCUAGCCUUAUGUUAAUAGCGUUAGGGGUAGAGCUCUGUUUAGGCUAGGGGGCGAAAUAAGUCUGCCAAACCUAGAUAAACUUCGAAUACUAACGUGAAUUUCAUAGGAGUUAGACUAUGACAGCUAAGUGCCAUAGUCGAAAGGGAAACAGCCCAGAUCACCAUCUAAGGUCCCUAAUAAAGCUUAAGUGGUAAAGGAUGUAGAAUUGCGUAUACAACCAGGAGGUUGGCUUAGAAGCAGCCAUUCCUUUAAAGAGUGCGUAACAGCUCACUGGUCUAUGCGAUUCUGCGCCGAAAAUAUAACGGGGCUUAAAGCUUUAACCGAAGAUGUGAGUGGCUCAUUUAUUUGAGUCGCGGUAGAGGAGCGUUCCUGUCAGCGUCGAAGCAGAACUGUGAAGUUCUGUGGAGCGUCAGGAAGUGAAAAUGUUGGCAUAAGUAACGAUAUUGGGGUGAAAAACCUCAACACCGAAUACCCAAGGUUUCCCAAGCAAUGUUAAUCAGCUUGGGGUUAGUCGGGCCUAAGGCGAGGCCGAAAGGCGUAGUCGAUGGACAACAGGUUAAUAUUCCUGUACAAUUUAAGUUUCGCCAGAGCAAUACUAGAGGGAAAUUUAAUUCGAAUUUUGAAGGCUUCGGCUGGAUAGAUGAGAGUUUUAUGGACCGAAAGUGGCGCUAGCUCAGGGGUAACGCGGGUGGAUAGCUAGAGCGUGUUAAUGAAUUCACGUAUAAGCUGUUAGUUUAUGCUCUUUGAGGUAAAUCCCUUAGAGUUUACGAGCAGUGAUGUAAAAUACUUUGCCUUUGGUAGAGUGAUUCUAGCGAUUUCAGCUGACGAGAAAAACCUCGGUAGCGAGAAACUUAGGUUUCCGUACCCAAAACCAACGCAGGUGGGUAGGUCGAGUAGACCAAGGUGAUCGAGAUAACUACUGCUAAGGAACUCGGCAAAACAGCAGGUGUAACUUCGGGAUAAACCUUGCCGGCUCUUUUUUCUUUAUGUCAAAAGUGUCCGGCCGCAGCUAAUGAUUCCACGCAACUGUUUACCAAAAACACAGGUCUCUGCUAAGUCGAAAGACUAUGUAUAGGGGCUGACGCCUGCCCAGUGCCAGAAGGUUACGAGGAUGGGUUCACGCCUUGAAUUUAAGCCCUGGUGAACGGCGGCCGUAACUAUAACGGUCCUAAGGUAGCGAAAUUCCUUGUCGGGUAAGUUCCGACCCGCACGAAUGGCGUAAUGAUGUGGAAACUGUCUCGGCAGUAGACUCGGUGAAAUUGCAAUACUGGUAAAAAUGCCAGUUAAUCAUGGAAAGACGGAAAGACCCCGUGCAGCUUUACUAUAGCUUGACAUUGGUUCUGGACAUAACUUGGGCAGGAUAGGUGGGAGACUUUGAAGCAAAACGCUAGU
rnacentral:rRNA from 1 species